GGGCAGGUGGCCGAGCGGUCAAAGGCAUGGGACUGUAAAUCCCACGGGCGAGAGCCCUUCAGUGGUUCAAAUCCACUCCUGCCCA
rnacentral:tRNA from 2 species